ACUCGCUACAUUUACCCCGUUAUGUGCGCGAGGUGAAGGAGCGUAAGGACGCGGUGAAGUGACAUCAUCGGCGCGCCGCCCCUCCAGACGGGGUUUUGACGCCCCCUCUGGUGCAGCGCCCCUAUGCGUUGCAUGCGCUGCAUACCCACUUUUUGCGCCACUGGCUACAGUAAGUCAUCCUAAUGUCAUGAUGUUGAAGUGUUGAGGUGAGAUCGAAAGCAGACAGAUCCAGGUUACAGAAGAAGAUGGAUAUUUAAUGAUGACCGACAUUCCUGAUGUUCAUAAUCUGAGUUUCACCUGGAGG